rnacentral:tRNA from 1 species
GCCCCCGUAGCCCAACCGGCAGAGGCAGCGGACUUAAACUCCGCCCAGUCUGGGUUCGAACCCCAGCGGGGGCACCA